rnacentral:lncRNA from 1 species
CAAUUUUCUAACAGUGGUUUUAGACUCCGCAUCCAGCUUUAUGGUCCUACAAUUUGUGUCCUGUGAUGUUGAUAGACAGUUGAUAGUUGAUUACAAAUGAGACAUAGAUAGAGAGUCCUCAAAUAUCAUUAUUUGACAUAUGUCCCUUUCUGUUUUAUGAUACAGGGCUGCUCCAGCUCGACAAACACGAGUGGAUCCAACGGCAGUGGAGUUUUCAGUUGUUUUCAAUCGGUCUGUCCCCUUUUCAGCACUCCCAAUGAAUCCUGUUGUUGCUCAAACCUUAGUUGAUGCUGCAAAUGAUUCCAACAUCUUCAAUGUGACCUUUGGUGCCUCUUCAGUUGAAUUAAUAUCGGGUCCAGUUCCUGCAACUACAAUUGCUGCAACGACAACUGCUGCAACUACAAUUGCCGCAACGACAACUGCUGCAACUACAACAGCUGUAACUACUACUUUUGCACCUGAAAUAGCUGCAACUACAACUGCUGCAACUACUACUGCUGCAAUGACAACUGCUGCAACUACAACUGCUGCACCUGCAACAACUGUAACAUCAACUGCUGCAUCCACAACAGAUGCAACAACAAACAAUAUGUCCUUCCGAUCUGUUAAUCCAUGCAUUUAUUUAAUGCUGCUUUUCUUGGCCCAUAUCAUACUAAUUUAAUUAUUGAUUAACAACAACAAGACUCCAUAUUGCUGGGAUAUAUGUGUAUAUAUAUAUAGUUGUAUAAAUAGUUGGGUAAGUUAUAUAACCAAUAGGUAUUGAAAAGUUCUUUAAAAUUUAAUUGGAUGAACCCUACAUAAACCCUGUAACUCAUGUACAUUCUUAAGUACUCUAACUGUUGCAACACCAAAAGCAGGUAGAAAUUUAGGUUUCAUGAUGAUCUUAAGUGUUGUAUGAUUUCAGAGCUUUCUAUCAAAUUUUUUGACCGUAGAGUAGUAUGGCUGUUGAACUAUACACAAUUUUGUGAGACAAUGUCCAGCUACUGAGCCGGACAGAAUGACACAGCCAGAAAAUAAUGGCACUACUGCACAAUUAAUAUCUUCCCUCUUUCAAAUAAAUGUAAGUCUUUUUUAAUUUGUACAAGCAAGAGAUUAUUCAAAAUGCUUUUUUAAAUUGUAUGUAAAAUGAUCUAAACCACUCUGUAGUCUCCAAAUACAUGUAAAAUGCAUGCUUAUAGUUCACUUGAUAGCAUGAAAGUAUAACAUAGCAUAGCAAAAAAUCCCCUCCACAUAAAGGACAUUGUAAAGGAAACAAGUGUCUUAAAUGAGGUGAAGGAACACAUGCAGCUUAUAGUGGACUGUACACAACAAUGUUGAAUCAAUGCCAAAAGUUUUUUUUUCGGGUCAUGGUCUAAAUUGAUAUAUAUGUAAAAACAAUGCACUUUCAAUGUUCUUAUUUAUACAAACUGUAUUAAUUAAA